rnacentral:rRNA from 1 species
AGUGGCGGACGGGUGAGUAACGCGUGGGAAUCUGCCCUCAGGAGGGGGAUAACGGCUGGAAACGGCCGCUAAUACCCCAUAUGCCGAGAGGUGAAACGAAUUUCGCCUGAGGAUGAGCCCGCGUCUGAUUAGCUAGUUGGUGGGGUAAGAGCCUACCAAGGCGACGAUCAGUAGCUGGUCUGAGAGGAUGAUCAGCCACACUGGGACUGAGACACGGCCCAGACUCCUACGGGAGGCAGCAGUGGGGAAUUUUCCGCAAUGGGCGAAAGCCUGACGGAGCAACGCCGCGUGAGGGACGAAGGCCUCUGGGCUGUAAACCUCUUUUCUCAAGGAAGAAGAUCUGACGGUACUUGAGGAAUAAGCCACGGCUAAUUCCGUGCCAGCAGCCGCGGUAAUACGGGAGUGGCAAGCGUUAUCCGGAAUUAUUGGGCGUAAAGCGUCCGCAGGCGGCUUUGUAAGUCUGCUGUCAAAGCGUGGAGCUUAACUCCAUUUCGGCAGUGGAAACUACGAGGCUUGAGUGUGGUAGGGGCAGAGGGAAUUCUCGGUGUAGCGGUGAAAUGCGUAGAUAUCGGGAAGAACAUUAGUGGCGAAGGCGCUCUGCUGGGCCAUAACUGACGCUCAUGGACGAAAGCCAGGGGAGCGAAAGGGAUUAGAUACCCCUGUAGUCCUGGCCGUAAACGAUGAACACUAGG